rnacentral:rRNA from 1 species
UGGGGAAUAUUGGUCAAUGGGCGAAAGCCUGAACCAGCAAUGCCGCGUGAGUGAUGAAGGCCUUAGGGUUGUAAAGCUCUGUCAGUGGGAACGAAGAAGUCGGUUAAUACCCGGCGGUGACGGUACCCACAAAGGAAGCACCGGCUAACUCUGUGCCAGCAGCCGCGGUAAUACAGAGGGUGCAAGCGUUGUUCGGAAUUACUGGGCGUAAAGCGCGUGUAGGCGGUUUAGUAAGUCGAUCGUGAAAUCCCUUGGCUUAACCAAGGAACUGCGGUCGAAACUAUUAGACUAGAGUAUCGGAGGGGGUGGCGGAAUUCCCGGUGUAGAGGUGAAAUUCGUAGAUAUCGGGAGGAACACCUGUGGCGAAGGCGGCCACCUGGAAGAUUACUGACGCUGAGACGCGAAAGCGUGGGGAGCAAACA